rnacentral:lncRNA from 1 species
UUCUAUGGUUUUUGAAACUGCAAACAAAGAUUCGCUUCGCAGGAGAGAUAGCGCCAUCGCCUAAGUUUAACUAGCGGUGACGGUAUCUCUCCUACGUAGCAAUCCUUAUAUAUGCAUCUUUAUGCAGAGAGAGAUGCAGCUCCAAGUUUAAAGGUAUUUCGGCUAUUCUACUAUUAUUACUUGCUUUCUAACAAAUGAUGCAUACACCAUUUCAAGUCCUAGUUUUGUUUCUGCAUCUAUCUUUGCACUUACAUUGACUGCAAAACAUUGCUCACUAGAGGACCUUAGUUUUAGCCUCUAGAUUGUCUUCUCAAACCUACAAUGAUUGAUAAUCUGUUCCAAGACAGGUUCUUGCUCUUUGCUUAAAAAAUGUUUUGGUCUUUUAUAGAAGUUUUCUCGGCGAGAAGCUGAAACGAUUAGCCAGUACAUCCUCAGCCUGAAAAUUUAAGGAAAAGCUAAUCAAUUUAUGAGUUGUUUUGCAGAAUUUGGGUUGAUUCUCACUCACAAGUGUCUUGUUUUCUUUGUUUUCAUGCUUUGGUUGUAUUCUCAUAUAUAUAUGGCUUUCCAUUUCUUUUCAACAAAUGGACUUUGGAUGAGGAACGGACCAUCUUUUAUAUACAGAAAGAAGAAUACUUAU